rnacentral:rRNA from 1 species
UACGGAGGAUUCAAGCGUUAUCCGGAUUUAUUGGGUUUAAAGGGUGCGUAGGCGGUCGGAUAAGUUAGAGGUGAAAUCCCGAGGAUCAACUUCGGAAUUGCCUCUGAUACUGUUCGGCUAGAGAGUAGUUGCGGUAGGCGGAAUGUAUGGUGUAGCGGUGAAAUGCUUAGAGAUCAUACAGAACACCGAUUGCGAAGGCAGCUUACCAAGCUACUUCUGACGUUGAGGCACGAAAGCGUGGGGAGCAAACAGG